rnacentral:lncRNA from 1 species
GUUGUACAGCACAACCCUGUAUAUUGACCUGUCCAGCCUGCCUGUUUUGAGUAUAGGAUGGAUUGGGCUACAGAGGGUCUGUUGAGAUUUGGGGGAGGAGUGAUGUGCCAUUUGGCUUGCAUCUCCUGUCCGAACAGCAAACGGACCCUUGUGGCCUGAUCAGCUGUCAAUUAAGCACUUCUCUGAUUGUCUGUGGUAAGGGGAAGGGAAAUGAAAUUAUUAUUUUUACAUCACUCCUCUCUCUCUCUCUCUCUCUCUCUCUCUCUCUCUCUCUCUCUCUCUCUCUCUCUCUCUCUCUCUCUCUCUCUCUCUCUCUCUCUCUCUCUCCCUCCCUCCAUCUCUGUCUCUGUCUCCCUCUCUCUCUGCCAGUGUCAUUUCAUUUUCUCUCAUCCUCCCUCCAUGCUUUCCUUCCCUUGUCCCCCCACCCAUUUUCUCUCUCAUCCCUCAGAAUCUGCAGCCACAAUGGCAGAGGCUGGUGGAGGCUGCUAUCUCCAGGCUAAACAACAAGCGUGCUGAAAAGAAUGCAUGCCGUCCUAUUGGGCCAGAAAGGUGUGUGAUAGCUCUUAAAAGGGAAGGUCAGAAUGUUCUAUGUAGAAACACAGUCAGGGUAUUUGCCAAACCAUGCCAUCAGCAAUCUCCAUAUAUCAUAUCUAUAUGCCAGUGUGGAGAGGCCUUAUGUCUAUUCAGAUACAAAUCCCACUCAGAUAUGAAUGAAAUGGGGCUCAUUUCCAGCCUUCAUUGUAAAGGGCACAAUGCAUAUAAGCCAAGAAAAAAACAACCAAGUAAAAAAACAAAAACAAAAAACCAAAAAACUACUAUGAAUGCUAUAUUUUAUCCCUGUGUAAACUGGAAGUGUGUGCAAAUAGAGCUACACAAAACUGGAACAGCAUCAAACAUGCUCUUAACCUCAAGCUGAAACAUUAUAUUUGGGUUAAAAUUUUUGCCAUGUGUUGAGGGCCCAAUUAAUUUUCAUAGCUGAAGAUAAUGUAUGACACAAUUAUUUGGCAAAGC